rnacentral:lncRNA from 1 species
CAGAAGCAGAGGAAAGAGGCCUCUGUCCUUCUCCCUCCUGUUCAGUUUCUUUUACCCCCUUUCCACGUCAUGGUCUUCCUGAAGCUUUCAGUUUGUCCAGGUAAAAGUAUGGUUUCAGAACCGGAGAACGAAAUUCAAAAGGCAAAAGCUAGAGGAAGAAGGCUCAGAUUCCCAACAAAAGAAAAAAGGGACACACCACAUUAACCGGUGGAGAAUUGCUACCAAGCAGGCGAGUCCGGAGGAAAUAGACGUGACCUCAGACGAUUAAAAGUACAAACCUAUUCCCACAGAAAUGGACAGCACGGAGCAAGAGAGACAGGGAGAGGAGGGGAAGAAAAACCCUACAGAACAAAAAACAAACUGCACACACAUUCACCGAGAAAGGGGGAGAGGGAAUCACAGCAGACUUUGG